rnacentral:miRNA from 14 species
AGAAGAUGAUGAUGAUGAUGAAGAGGAUGAUGAAGAUGAGGAUGAUUUGGUCCGUGUUGUCUCCUCCUCUUCGUCCUCCUGCAGCAGCUUGGUGG